rnacentral:rRNA from 1 species
ACACCGGCGGCCCGAGUGGUGAUCGUGAUUAUUGGGUCUAAAGGGUCCGUAGCCGGUUUGGUCAGUCCUCCGGGAAAUCUGACAGCUCAACUGUUAGGCUUUCGGAGGAUACUGCCAGACUUGGAACCGGGAGAGGUAAGAGGUACUACAGGGGUAGGAGUGAAAUCUUGUAAUCCCUGUGGGACCACCUGUGGCGAAGGCGUCUUACCAGAACGGGUUCGACGGUGAGGGACGAAAGCGUGGGGAGC